rnacentral:rRNA from 1 species
GGUGAACGUUGGCGGUGCGCCUAAUACAUGCAAGUCGAACGAAGUCUUCGGACUUAGUGGCGGACGGGUGAGUAACACGUGGGAACGUACCUUUUGGUUCGGAACAACUCAGGGAAACUUGAGCUAAUACCGGAUGAGCCCUUCGGGGGAAAGAUUUAUCGCCAUUAGAGCGGCCCGCGUUAGAUUAGCUAGUUGGUGAGGUAAGGGCUCACCAAGGCUACGAUCUAUAGCUGGUCUGAGAGGAUGAUCAGCCACACUGGGACUGAGACACGGCCCAGACUCCUACGGGAGGCAGCAGUGGGGAAUCUUGCGCAAUGGGCGAAAGCCUGACGCAGCCAUGCCGCGUGAAUGAUGAAGGUCUUAGGAUUGUAAAAUUCUUUUACCAGGGGCGAUAAUGACGGCACCUGGAGAAAAAGCCCCGGCUAACUUCGUGCCAGCCGCCGCCGUAACAC